AGUGGGAGUAUUGAGCAUCAAUAAUGUCAUCAUUGUGGGAAAAUUGGAUGAUUGGAUUCGGGUAUAAUCCAAAGGGCUUCAGUGUUGUCAAACUCUUUGAUGAUGAAUACAAUGGAAAUUCUGAAGUUGGAGACCUCUUUGUUGUAAGAUGUGCAAAUUUAAAACCGAUCUUCCAUGUUGGAGUGUGCUGCGGUGAAGAGGAAGUCAUUCAAUUGACACAAUCAAACAAUGGAUCCUGGGCAUCAGCAUCAAGUUCUUCUGGAACUGUAGGAAAAUUGUUGUCGCCCAUAUCAGAGCUAAUUUGCGAUUUAGAUCCUACCCUACAUUCCUGUCCAGGUCUCGUUAGCAAAGUGAGCGUGGACGGGUUUUCUGGAGGACAAAAAUUUGCAAUUCAUAGAAGGGAAAAUGGAAUUCCUGAAUUAUUUAUGGAUAAUGUUAAAAUAGCAAUGCAGAUAAGUCCACAGUAUGAUCUUUUGUCAUACAACUGUAUUCAUUUUGCCAUGGAGCUUCUUGGAGUAAAGAAGUCUUAAACAGUUUCAACUUUCAGACCAAGCUUACUGGAAGAUGCCACUGAUGGACAGACAGACCAGCCAAGCCACUCACAAGAAAC